rnacentral:rRNA from 1 species
ACGGAGGAUGCAAGCGUUAUCCGGAUUUAUUAGGUUUAAAGGGUGCGUAGGCGGAGACUUAAGUCAGUGGUAAAAGGCAAUAGCUUAACUAAUGUAAGCCAUUGAUACUGGGUUUCUUGAGUUCGGUAGAGGUAGGCGGAAUGUGUUGUGGUGCGGUGAAAUGCAAUGAUAAAACACAGAACACCCAAUGGGGAGGGAACUUUAUUUGCCGGUACCGGCGGUGAUGCCCGAAAGCGGGGGGAUCAAACAG